rnacentral:misc_RNA from 1 species
GUAGGUAGAGUUGGGAGACCGUCUCGCGAGACACGGCACACGUCACGUAUAUCACAGCAGCAAAGACGACAACGAUCACGGGCGGCGAACGCGAAAAACACGGACUGCAGGAUGUCUUCCUUUUUGAUCCAUGCCCGGCUGGCUCUCCCCUCUCUCCACCGGGUAUAUCUACUGUUAUUAAUGUCGUUGUCGUCGUUGUUGUUGUUGUUAUUGUUGUUGUUGUCGUCGUCGUUGACGAUCAGAACGACACACGAGUCUGUACACGGUGAUACUGGCUGCACACACCACACGACACGAUGACGAUCGAAACGAAUACAGCACGACAACGCGGCACACGGUGGCACUCGGUGCGGCACGGCGCGGUUUCGCCCGGUAUAGAGAGAUACGCGCUUCGCCGUGACACCGCCAGGAGUAAAAUAAAAUUGGCAGAACCAGGAGAAUGGCGAGAGGCGCGCACACACCACCGUCGUCAGGCUCCCUUGGCUGUUUCGGUGCGUUUCGACGCGAAUAUCAGAUCCGACGUCUGAACGGUGUCUGCGCCAGUGACACUGGACGAGCGGAAACUGCGAGGGUUCCAACGCACACAGGAAGUUGAUAACCGUAAUAGCUCCUUAGCUGCGUGCCAUUCCGCCGUAGAGACGACCCAACGCGACUACGCGCGCGGCGGAGAUUAAGCGAGUCAACAACGGCGAACAAUUUAAUGGACGGCAGCGACGAGCAGGAAUAUAGAACUGCGUCGAACGAACGGACGGCGCUUUCCGCCGCAUCGUGGAAUGUCCGACGACGGCUAGAAGAGCAGAGACAGAUAUACAUACACACGUAGAUGGGAAAGAGAGGAGAGAAUAGAAAAGAGAAUUCUCGCAGC